rnacentral:rRNA from 1 species
AGUGAACGCUGGCGGUAGGCCUAACACAUGCAAGUCGAACGGCGGCACAGUAAGAGCUUGCUCUUACGGGUGGCGAGUGGCGGACGGGUGAGGAAUACAUCGGAAUCUACUUUUUCGUGGGGGAUAACGUAGGGAAACUUACGCUAAUACCGCAUACGACCUACGGGUGAAAGCAGGGGAUCUUCGGACCUUGCGCGAUUGAAUGCGCCGAUGUCGGAUUAGCUAGUUGGCGGGGUAAAGGCCCACCAAGGCGACGAUCCGUAGCUGGUCUGAGAGGAUGAUCAGCCACACUGGAACUGAGACACGGUCCAGACUCCUACGGGAGGCAGCAGUGGGGAAUAUUGGACAAUGGGCGCAAGCCUGAUCCAGCCAUACCGCGUGGGUGAAGAAGGCCUUCGGGUUGUAAAGCCCUUUUGUUGGGAAAGAAAAGCAGCAGGUUAAUACCCCGCUGUUCUGACGGUACCCAAAGAAUAAGCACCGGCUAACUUCGUG